AAGAUUAAACUCAAAGGAAUUGACGGGGCCGCACAAGCGGUGGAUUAUGUGGAUUAAUUCGAUGCAACGCGAAAACCUUACCUGGCCUUGACAUGUACGGAACUUUCCAGAGAUGGAUUGGUGCCCGAAAGGGAGCCGUAACACAGGUGCUGCAUGGCUGUCGUCAGCUCGUGUCGUGAGAUGUUGGGUUAAGUCCCGCAACGAGCGCAACCCUUGCCAUUAAUUGCCAUCAUUUAGUUGGGCACUUUAAUGGGACUGCCGGUGACAAACCGGAGGAAGGUGGGGAUGACGUCAAGUCCUCAUGGCCCUUAUGGCCAGGGCUUCACACGUAAUACAAUGGUCGGUACAGAGGGUAGCCAACCCGCGAGGGGGAGCCAAUCCCAGAAAGCCGAUCGUAGUCCGGAUUGCAGUCUGCAACUCGACUGCAUGAAGUCGGAAUCGCUAGUAAUCGUGGACCAGCAUGCCACGGUGAAUACGUUCCCGGGUCUUGUACACACCGCCCGUCACACCAUGGGAGUUGGUUUUACCCGAAGGCCGUGUGCUAACUACGGAGGCAGCGGACCACGGUAGGGUCAGCGACUGGGGUGAAGUCGUAACAAGGUAGCCGUA
rnacentral:rRNA from 1 species